UUCGAUUGAAUAAAGUUGGGACUUGCCAAAUGGAUUGUUGAUGCACGUAUUCCUUUCAAUGCAAUUCAAUCACCUUACUUUCAACCUGCAUUGGAUACUGC